UCCUUGAGAAGCGGCGGACGGGUGAGUAAUGCCUAGGAAUCUGCCUGGUAGUGGGGGAUAACGUUCGGAAACGGACGCUAAUACCGCAUACGUCCUACGGGAGAAAGCAGGGGACCUUCGGGCCUUGCGCUAUCAGAUGAGCCUAGGUCGGAUUAGCUAGUUGGUGGGGUAAUGGCUCACCAAGGCGACGAUCCGUAACUGGUCUGAGAGGAUGAUCAGUCACACUGGAACUGAGACACGGUCCAGACUCCUACGGGAGGCAGCAGUGGGGAAUAUUGGACAAUGGGCGAAAGCCUGAUCCAGCCAUGCCGCGUGUGUGAAGAAGGUCUUCGGAUUGUAAAGCACUUUAAGUUGGGAGGAAGGGCAGUAAAUUAAUACUUUGCUGUUUUGACGUUACCGACAGAAUAAGCACCGGCUAACUCUGUGCC
rnacentral:rRNA from 1 species